rnacentral:rRNA from 2 species
UGGCGGCACUAGCGCGGUGGUCCCACCUGACCCCAUGCCGAACUCAGAAGUGAAACGCCGUAGCGCCGAUGGUAGUGUGGGGUUUCCCCAUGCGAGAGUAGGGAACUGCCAGGCA